AAAGAGAGAAAACAUCACUGUUCUCUUCAGCAGAACUUUUGUCAGUGUGAUCGAGAAUUGUCUCAAGUGACAAGUGAGCUGACCAGGGAACCCUGGGUGGCAGGUACUAUUGGCACCAUUUUCCAGAUAAAGAAAAUGAAGUUCUAAGCAGUCAAAUGACAUGUCAAGAUCACCCAACUGAGACUACUGCCCUUCAUUGAUUGAUGUCCGGUGCCUGGAAAGCCAUGGUUUUAUGCAGUUUGUGGAUUUUUUAUUUUUUUUCUUUAUUUGAAAUGGGAAGGAUCACAUUACAUCGAACAGAAACUGUUUUACCUUGCUUGCAAGGAGGUGGAGGCCUCCUUGCCCCCAAGUGUGGUGCCACUUCCGGGUUCCUUGAGCACUUCCAGGUUAUCAGCCCAGCUCUCCUCCAGUUUCUGGGGCUGCUGAAGAAGCUGUUGGGGAAAUUCUGGAGGCUGGGAAGUCCAAGAUCAAAGUGCCAGCAGAUCAGUAACUGCAUCAUGGAUGAACCUGGAGGCCAU
rnacentral:lncRNA from 1 species